rnacentral:rRNA from 1 species
GACGAACGCUGGCGGCGUGCCUAAUACAUGCAAGUCGAGCGAAUGGAUGGGAGCUUGCUCCCUGAAGUUAGCGGCGGACGGGUGAGUAACACGUGGGCAACCUGCCUGUAAGACUGGGAUAACUUCGGGAAACCGGAGUUAAUACCGGAUACAUUCUUUCUUCGCCUGAAGAAAGAUGGAAAGAUGGUUUCGGCUAUCACUUACAGAUGGGCCCGCGGCGCAUUAGCUAGUUGGUGAGGUAACGGCUCACCAAGGCAACGAUGCGUAGCCGACCUGAGAGGGUGAUCGGCCACACUGGGACUGAGACACGGCCCAGACUCCUACGGGAGGCAGCAGUAGGGAAUCUUCCGCAAUGGACGAAAGUCUGACGGAGCAACGCCGCGUGAGCGAAGGAGGCCUUCGGGUCGUAAAGCUCUGUUGUUAGGGAAGAACAAGUACCAGAGUAACUGCUGGUACCUUGACGGUACCUAACCAGAAAGCCACGGCUAACUACGUGCCAGCAGCCGCCGUAACAC